rnacentral:rRNA from 1 species
GCGGCGGACGGGUGAGUAACACGUGGCCAACCUGCCUGUAAGACUGGGAUAACUCCGGGAAACCGGGGCUAAUACCGGAUAACCCGUUCCACCUCAUGGUGGAGCGGUAAAAGAUGGCCUCUGGCUAUCACUUACAGAUGGGCCCGCGGCGCAUUAGCUAGUUGGUAAGGUAACGGCUUACCAAGGCGACGAUGCGUAGCCGACCUGAGAGGGUGAUCGGCCACACUGGGACUGAGACACGGCCCAGACUCCUACGGGAGGCAGCAGUAGGGAAUCUUCCGCAAUGGACGAAAGUCUGACGGAGCAACGCCGCGUGAGUGAUGAAGGUUUUCGGAUCGUAAAGCUCUGUUGUUAGGGAAGAACAAGUGCCGUUUGAAUAAGGCGGCACCUUGACGGUACCUAACCAGAAAGCCACGGCUAACUACGUGCCAGCAGCCGCGGUAAUACGUAGGUGGCAAGCGUUGUCCGGAAUUAUUGGGCGUAAAGCGCGCGCAGGCGGUCUCUUAAGUCUGAUGUGAAAGCCCACGGCUCAACCGUGGAGGGUCAUUGGAAACUGGGAGACUUGAGUACAGAAGAGGAGAGUGGAAUUCCACGUGUAG